CCGAAUAUAGCAAGGAGAAACCAUGGAUAGGGUUUUUCAAGCUUCCAAGCUCAAUUGUAAGUCCGUUCUAGCCUCGUUUUUAAUGAUUUUUACAUUUUUGGAGUCCCGGUAACUUGAUUUAGCUUAUUCUAACAAUAAUUUAACCUAGGUUUUAUAUUUGGAAAAAUACCCAUAGGUGAAAUUUGUGUUUUUGGUGUUUUAUGAUAGAAUAUGAGGUUUUAAAUUAUGUUAGACAACUUGUGCUACUCGGUUUUAAGUGAAAACGAGCAAAAGGUCUUAAUCAGUAAAAAUACCUAAUAGUCAUAAGUACAUGUUAGAGUGAGAAUUUGAUGUUUCCAUAGAAGGAAAAAAUGAUCAGCGUGUCAUAAAACAUAAGAAAAUAGGCUGAAGUUUAAUUUACGAGCUUUGGGGAAAAAGUGUAAAUAUGCAAAAGUUUAGGGGCAAAACUGUAAUUUUGCAAAAAUAUGAUUUUGGGUCAAUUUAAAUAAUGUGAGUCCUAAUUAGACUAUAUUUUAAAUGAUAGAGCAAUGAUAACUAAAAUUCGGGCUAAAAUGGGGAAAAUACCAAGUUGUGGACGAAAUGGUAAAAGUAGCCAUUUUCGCAUACGAGGUAAGUUCAUGUGUAAAUGUAGUAACAUAAUUGUCAUUUUAAGCAAUUUAAUGUUGUUUAUAUGAUAUGAUGCUGAUUAUUAUCAUGAAAUAUUAUGCUUUGUGGUUAUUGUUGAAUAAUAUGUAAUUAUGUGAAUUACUUGAUGAGUAUGAACUAUCACCGAAGUAUCAAUUUCGAUAUUCCGUGGAAGAUGGCAAAGAUGUGUGAUCGAGGAAAACGCCCGUUUGAACCUUAGGAAUAGAUUAGGAUACAAGUGACAUGUCACUAGGAUAUUUGGGCAUCCGAACUCGUUGAGUUGAGUCCGAGUUCACUUAUGGAUGCGAAUGUCCGAACUCGUUGAGUUGAGUCCGAGUUCGAGAGAUGUAACUAGGCAUCCGAGCUCGUUGAGUUGAGUCCGAGUUCACUUAUGGAUGCGAAUGUCCGAACUCGUUGAGUUGAGUCCGAGUUCGAGAGAUGUAACUAGGCAUCCGAGCUCGUUGAGUUGAGUCCGAGUUCACUUGUGGAUGCGAACGCCCGAACUCAUUGAGUUGAGUCCGAGUUCGCUUAUGGGCGGGUUACAUGGUAGCUUGGCUACAUAUGUGGCACUUAUGUGCAAACUUUCCAUGUAUCCGAAUUAUAUUCCGAUGUGUUCAACGGGUAAAGUUCUACUCAAAUGGAGGAAUACUAGAGAUGAAAGGGACGUAUUGGUGAGUGUUGUGAAAUGGAUACUUUGAACAGGUAUGUACUUAACCCUCAGGUUGAAAAAUCGAUAUAAGAAUAAUAUGGUAAGAUGAUAAAUGAAAAUAUGAUAUGAAUGUCUUGGUGAUGAUUAUGCAAAUGAUGUUUUAUGUUUGCUUAUAUGGUUAUGUUACUUGCUAUUUGCAUGUGAACUUACUAAGCAUUUAUGCUUACUCCAUCCUUUUCAUUCCUUGUAGUUUUGACAAGCCAGCUCGGAAAUCGGAAACGGUCGGAGGUUCGCUCACACUAUCUGUAUACCAUCUUGGCAUAAUGGCUUGUAUAUUUUGAGUAUGGCAUGUAUAGCAUUAUAAUCAUUUUGUAUAUAUGGUCUUAUGAUAUGGUUAUUGAGUGGUAUGGAAAUGCUUGGUAAUGAUUA
rnacentral:lncRNA from 1 species